GACGAACGCUGGCGGCGUGCUUAACACACGCAAGUCGAACGAUGAAGCCGGAGCUUGCUCUGGUGAAUUAGUGGCGAACGGGUGAGUAACACGUGAGUAACCUGCCCUUGACUCUGGGAUAACUGCGGGAAACUGUAGCUAAUACCGGAUACGACCCUCGGAGGCAUCUCCUGGGGGUGGAAAGAAUUUCGGUCAAGGAUGGACUCGCGGCCUAUCAGCUAGUUGGUGAGGUAACGGCCCACCAAGGCGACGACGGGUAGCCGGCCUGAGAGGGUGACCGGCCACACUGGGACUGAGACACGGCCCAGACUCCUACGGGAGGCAGCAGUGGGGAAUAUUGCACAAUGGGCGCAAGCCUGAUGCAGCAACGCCGCGUGAGGGAUGACGGCCUUCGGGUUGUAAACCUCUUUUAGCAGGGAAGAAGCGAAAGUGACGGUACCUGCAGAAGAAGCACCGGCUAACUACGUGCCAGCCGCCGCCGUAA
rnacentral:rRNA from 1 species